UAAAAUUUUAAUAAGUUUAAUCUGGUGAUUGGAUUGGGAAAAUUCGAGAAUUGUGGAUACCUGUGAGGGGUUACAGAUUUCUCGAUUUACCUUAAAAUUUACAAACAAUUUUGGUGUGUGAAUUUAAGGGAAAUUUUUGGCUUAAGAGGAAUUCGAGGGUUAAAAUGAACCUAAGGGGAUGUUGAGGGAUGUAUUGAAUUUAGAAGAAUU
rnacentral:lncRNA from 1 species